rnacentral:rRNA from 1 species
GACGAACGCUGGCGGCGUGCCUAAUACAUGCAAGUCGAGCGAAUGGAUUAAGGGCUUGCUCUUAUGAAGUUAGCGGCGGACGGGUGAGUAACACGUGGGUAACCUGCCCAUAAGACUGGGAUAACUCCGGGAAACCGGGGCUAAUACCGGAUAACAUUUUGAACCGCAUGGUUCGAAAUUGAAAGGCGGCUUCGGCUGUCACUUAUGGAUGGACCCGCGUCGCAUUAGCUAGUUGGUGAGGUAACGGCUCACCAAGGCAACGAUGCGUAGCCGACCUGAGAGCGUGAUCGGCCACACUGGGACUGAGACACGGCCCAGACUCCUGCGGGAGGCAGAAGUAGGGAAUCUUCCGCAAUGGACGAAAGUCUGACGGAGCAACGCCGCGUGAGUGAUGAAGGCUUUCGGGUCGUAAAACUCUGUUGUUAGGGAAGAACAAGUGCUAGUUGAAUAAGCUGGCACCUUGACGGUACCUAACCAGAAAGCCACGGCUAACUACGUGCCAGCCGCCGCGGUAA